GAUGAACGCUGGCGGCGUGCCUAAUACAUGCAAGUCGAGCGAACGGACGAGAUGCUUGCUUCUCUGAUGUUAGCGGCGGACGGGUGAGUAACACGUGGAUAACCUACCUAUAAGACUGGGAUAACUUCGGGAAACCGUAGCUAAUACCGGAUAAUAUCUUGAACCGCAUGGUUCAAAAGUGAAAGAUGGUCUUGCUGUCACUUAUAGAUGGAUCCGCGCUGCAUUAGCUAGUUGGUAAGGUAACGGCUUACCAAGGCAACGAUGCAUAGCCGACCUGAGAGGGUGAUCGGCCACACUGGAACUGAGACACGGUCCAGACUCCUACGGGAGGCAGCAGUAGGGAAUCUUCCGCAAUGGGCGAAAGCCUGACGGAGCACCGCCGCGUGAGUGAUGAAGGUCUUCGGAUCGUAAAACUCUGUUAUUAGGGAAGACCAUAUGUGUAAGUAACUGUGCACAUCUUGACGGUACCUAAUCAGAAAGCCACGGCUAACUACGUG
rnacentral:rRNA from 1 species